CGCCGAUGGCAGGGCUGCUGGGGAGAUUGCAGGCAGUGGCCCCAGAGGCUUCUGUCCCCCAGGGUCACUCAGCCGCCCAGCCACGUCUGACUGCCCAGGCUGGGGUGGGGACCGUGGCCAGGUGGCGUCCUCAUCCUGUUGCAGCCGGGUGUCUGGCCAGCUGUGUAGCAGGCUCCUCCCUGCACGGCCCUGGGGCACCCUAAGCUCCUUAGCAGCCUCUGGACAAAGGCGAUCCUCCUUCUGCAGCAGGAGUAGGGGUGGCGGUGGGCACUGGGAGCCAGGUGGGGGAGGGAGGUGGCGCACUCAGGCCUGCAGUGUCCCCUUCUCUGCCCGAGGAGGCCGAUGGGAUUGAAUGGUGGACUCUUGGGCUUCUGGAGUUCUGUGGCAUCAAAGACUUCCUUGGGAAUUCACUGAACUUUGUUUUGGGGACUUUAGAAUUAUCACAAAUACCACCAUCUCUGAAAAUCCCGAACGGGGACAGACAGCCCCUGUCAAAUUUAAACAUGAAUUCUGGCUCACAUAACUGAAGUCCAGUGUUGUGCAGCUGUCACCUCUAUCGAGUUCCAGAACAUUCUCAUCACCCCAAACAGAGAACUCCACACUAAUCACUAAUCAGUCGCUCCCUGUUCUGUUCUCACACUGUGAAUAAACACAUGCCUGACACUGAGUAAUUUCUAAUAGAAAAAGGUUUAAUUGAUUCACGGUUCAGCGUGGCUGGGGAGGCCUCAGGAAACUUGCAGUCCUGAUGGAAGGCGAAGCAAACACGCCCUUCUUCACAUGGCAGCAGCAAGGAAACGUGCAGAGCAAAAGUGGGGAAAGGCGCUUACAAAACUCUCGGGUCUCAUGAGAACUCUAUCACGAGAACAGGUUGUGGGGAAACCGCCCCCAUUAUUGAAUGACCUCCCUUGGUCUCUCCCACGACCGUGGGGAUUAUGGGAACUACAAUUCAGGAUGAGAUUUGGGCGGGGACACAGCCAAGCUGUGUUACUCCUCACUACCCCUCCUCCUUUUUCCUGGCAAACACUCGUCCAUUGUGUGGAUUCGCCUAUUCUGGACAUUUCAUAUAAGUGGAAUCGUACACUCUGCAGCCUCUUAUGUCUGGCUGCUUUCACUCAGCAGCAUAUUCUCGGGCUUCAUCCACGGUGUAGCCUGGGUCAGUGCUUCAAUCCUUUAAAAAAAAAAAAAAGAUGGGGUCUUGUUACGUUGCCCAGGCUGGUCUUGAACUCCUGGGCUCAAGCAAUCCUCCUGCCUCGGCCUCCAUGCCCGGCCCUUCACAUGGCAUUGUAUGGAUAUGCCACGUUUUACUUACCUGUUCAUCAGGUGAUGGACUGGCUUGUGCAGUUUUGCUGUGAAUCAAAGCUAAACCCGAAUCUUAAAGAAGAACCUGUUAAAGACAACAGCUGUUAUCCAUGGAGAGUUUAAAGGAAGUAAGUUUCCAGCAACUUUUCCGAGUGUCAAUAGUGGUUGCCAGCUGCUGCUUCUGCUGGUGCUGCCCAUUAGUCCUGGGGAUGGAAACUUACUUUUGGUUAGUGUUGCUUUGGGGCAUUAUUCCCAGGUUGGAUGAGUGGUUUGCUCUCAGUUUUGGGGUGGCCCGGUCCCCAGAGCCCCCCUUCCACAUCCUCGUCCUUGCUGUGCUCUCUCUCUUCUUGGUCCGGUUAGAAGCACGGAGAUGGGAUAGCGGAGAUGUUUCUUGUCGCUGGUAGUGCCGCCGGCCUCUGGGUGCCAUGCUUGCUGCUGCCAUUCGUCUUAAGAACCUCAAGAAAUGACAUGGGCUGCAGGGAGAGACCAGCCAAGCCCCCGAGGUGGACUGCAGUGAGGGGCUGGGCGGUGGCAUUGGGGCAUGGGUCUGACGUCAGUUGGCACAGAAGGGGUGUUGGGCACUUCGGGCAGCAGAGCCAGCCUGCGCAAAGGCCCGGGGGUGCCAGAUGCAUGAGCUGUCCGCGGCUUGCUGUGGGUGGGGUCGGGUGCCCGUGGCCCUGCUUGUGCUCCUGCCGGGGAGCAGUGAGCCCGCACCCCCUGACAUGCACACACACUUCCGAGGCUUUUUCCAGGGACUGCCUUUAAUUUCUGGAGGUCCUGCACUCUGGGUCCCUGGAAGGGGUGCUGCUUUGGUGUUUAUGCUCAGCCCCAUGGUUCUAUGGGGUGAACGGAUGUGUGGCUGGGACCCCAUUUCUGAUGUGGGCGCCCCUGCAGCCUCCCCCUUCCAGCACCUUCCAAGGUAGGGUGCUGAGUGCCUUCGGCAUGUCGUCAGACAGUAAUCCACUUCCCAUGGUGGUUGUGGCAGUUACAUGGAUUAAGACUUGCGAGUUGCUUAGAACAGGAGGCCAGCAAACUCCAGCAAGUUCCAAAUCUGGCCCUCAGCCUGUUUUUGUAAAUAAAGUUUUAUUGGCACACAGCCACGCCCAUUCAGUCCCCAUCACCUGUGGCUGCUUUUGCACUACAGUGGCAGGGGCAAGUAGAGGAGACAGACCUCGUGGCCCUCAAAGCUCGAGGUGUUUUUACCAUCUGGCCCUUUAUAGGAAAGUGUGAGGGCCUCUGGCAUCCAGCCCCCGUGGCCUCCAGGCUCCCGGUUUCCUCCUCUAAUGGAAAUGAAGCAGCAACUCCCUCGGAGGGCUGCGGUGGGGUCUGCUUCGUGGGGCGUGGGGAGCUCUGGGAUGCGCUGAGUCCCCGGGGGAGGUGGCCUGAGGAGCACAGAGGACUACGUCGGACGACUGAGACGUAUGAGCCCUUGUCUGCAUUUCCCUCGAGAAGUCCACACGUGUGGAGGGAGUCCCAGGUUGUCCAGGUGCCUGCUGUCCUUAUCCCCACAUCUCAGAUGGUAACAGAGGCCAGAGGCAAACCUAGUGUGACCCCAAGACUCCUGGCGCCUGUGGGCCUUGCUGGGGCUCUGUGGGUUGAGGGGAGGACGGAGGCCCUGAGGAUGUAGGAGUGGACAGAGGAUGACACAGCCUCUGCGAGUCCCAAGGUGGGGGGGACACCCGGUGGCCCCCGGGCUGCAGUUGUCCUGGG